AUUGAACGCUGGCGGCAGGCUUAACACAUGCAAGUCGAGCGGGGUGAUGGUGCUUGCACUAUCACUUAGCGGCGGACGGGUGAGUAAUGCUUAGGAAUCUGCCUAUUAGUGGGGGACAACAUCUCGAAAGGGAUGCUAAUACCGCAUACGUCCUACGGGAGAAAGCAGGGGAUCACUUGCGACCUUGCGAUAAUAGAUGAGCCUAAGUCGGAUUAGCUAGUUGGCGGGGUAAAGGCCUACCAAGGCGACGAUCUGUAGCGGGUCUGAGAGGAUGAUCCGCCACACUGGGACUGAGACACGGCCCAGACUCCUACGGGAGGCAGCAGUGGGGAAUAUUGGACAAUGGGGGGAACCCUGAUCCAGCCAUGCCGCGUGUGUGAAGAAGGCCUUAUGGUUGUAAAGCACUUUAAGCGAGGAGGAGGCUCUUUUGGUUAAUACCCAAGAUGAGUGGACGUUACUCGCAGAAUAAGCACCGGCUAACUCUGUGCCAGCCGCCGCCGUAA
rnacentral:rRNA from 1 species